UACGUAGGGUGCGAGCAUUGUCCGGAAUUAUUGGGCGUAAAGAGCUCGUAGGCGGCUUGUUGCGUCGGAUGUGAAAGCUCGGGGCUUAACCCUGGGUCUGCAUUCGAUACGGGCAGGCUAGAGUGUGGUAGGGGAGAUCGGAAUUCCUGGUGUAGCGGUGAAAUGCGCAGAUAUCAGGAGGAACACCGGUGGCGAAGGCGGAUCUCUGGGCCAGUUACUGACGCUGAGGAGCGAAAGCGUGGGGAGCGAA
rnacentral:rRNA from 1 species